rnacentral:misc_RNA from 1 species
CCUCCAACAAGGAGAACCUCAUCAACAUCCUUGGUGGUUACGGCAGCAUCCUUCAAACAGUUCUUGCACGGAUCCCUCGUCUUUUCAAUCAAGUGAUUUACCAAACUUUCGAAUUUGGAUCUAGUUAGAGUAAUGUUUAGAUGUUUGGCACCAGAUGCAUCAGCUGUGAUAAAUGGCAAGUUGAUUUCAGUCUGGGUUGUUGAUGAGAGCUCUAUCUUAGCCUUUUCUGCUGCUUCCCGAAGCCUCUGCAGAGCCAGCCUGUCCU